rnacentral:rRNA from 1 species
AAGAACGCAGCGAAAUGCGAUAAGUAAUGUGAAUUGCAGAAUUCAGUGAACCAUCGAAUCUUUGAACGCACAUUGCGCCCGCCAGCACUCUGGCGGGCAUGCCUGUCCGAGCGUCAUCUCAACCCUCGAGCCCCCCGCCUCGCGGCGGCGGGGCCCGGCCUUGGGGGUCACGGCCCCGCGCCGCCCCCUAAACGCAGUGGCGACCCCGCCGCGGCUCCCCUGCGCAGUAGCUCACCGAGAACCUCGCACCGGAAGCGCGGAGGCGGUCACGCCGUGAAACCACCACGCCUUCCAGUUGACCUCGGAUCAG